rnacentral:lncRNA from 1 species
CCCUGGGGGGUGAGACGUGCAACAGGGGGGGGUGCUGCCAAUAACAAAGUUAUAUGCUCUUAAGAAUCCAUGCAUGGGGAAGUAGUCUUGGAUCAGUUAACCUGAUUUGCAAUUGAAUUCACCUUGCUUUGGGUUGGAGGAUCAAUUUCAGACAAUACUAAAUGCUUUUAUUUAAAGUGGGUGCAGAGCAAAAUUUGCCAACCACAGUCUCUGGGAGAGGGAAUGCUAGACUCUUCCCAGUUUCUGACUGUCCCAACUGAUCAACCCAAAAGCUGUUGAGACUAAAGAUCAUAUUAGGGCAAAUAAGGAGGCUGUGCCUGCAAAACAAACCCCUUUCCAAGACCAAGGGAAAAGCGCUUCGCAUGCUAUUCCUGGUUUGACAGCUGGUAAUUUGGAGUGUGUCAGCUCUAAAGUAGCAGAGUCCUUGGCAGCAAGGGGUCACCGCAGGGCAGCCACAGCAGACAGCACCAGCAAGCGCCAGGUACCGGUGCUGUGAAUAUUGGUAAUAUGUAGCCGUCUU